AAGUCAGCCUCCACCCUUUCAUCGGUCUCCUUCUCCUCUCCGAUCCUGAAGAAAGGUAUUGCUGAGAAGCAAAGCACAAGUUGGAAAUUCAGAAUGAGCUGCAGACAAGUUGUGGCAUUGGAUGGCCUACUCUUUGAAUGCCAAUAUCUGAACCUGUUGCCAUGUAGGUUAAACUCACCGCAUGAAGAUCAUGGGACCUUUCCAUUUUCAGAAGCCAAUGGAAAUUUGUCAUGUGACUGAAACUUUGACAAAGGUAUAUCUUUACAGAACUGAAGUUUCUGACCUCGUGCUAUGAUGGGAUCCUGGAGGCUCAAGUCUAGUUUGGCUGUUGAUCUAGGACCCAGUAGAUGCAGAACAAGGAUCUGGUGUGGCAAGGAGGAUGACUGAAGUGCAGUGGGUACUGGCAUGAAGGAUUGGAACUCAUGUAGAGCUGUCCCUGUCAGGUGGCCAGUGAAUUUACAACUGCCAGUGUAGCUAAGAACAAGAAAUGAAGACUGAUAUCAAGCGAUGCAGUGGGAGACGUCCAUGAUUUCAGACCACAUUUUAUACUGCAAGUUUACUGUUUUCCACUAUCAAUAAAAUGUGUGAAUUAUCCCUG